UACGAGGGGGGCAAGCGUUGUUCGGAAUUAUUGGGCGUAAAGAGCUCGUAGGCGGUUCGGUAAGUCGGAUGUGAAAUCUCCACGCUCAACGUGGAGGGGCCAUUCGAUACUGCCGUGACUCGAGUCCGGUAGGGGAGUGUGGAAUUCCCGGUGUAGCGGUGAAAUGCGCAGAGAUCGGGAGGAACACCCGUAGCGAAGGCGGCACUCUGGGCCGGUACUGACGCUGAGGAGCGAAAGCGUGGGGAGCGAACAGG
rnacentral:rRNA from 1 species